AUAUAUAUAUAGAGAGAGAGAGAGAGAGUCCGGCUAUGGUGCUUGUAAAAGCACCAAUCACUUUGUACUUGUAGGUUUCUAACCGUUAGAUCAGCACUGUUGAUCAUUUACACCCGUUAGAUUAUACUAUUGAACCAACCACCCAUUCAACCCUAGGGGGUCCACAUCAUCCUAAUCAUAUAUUUUUUAAUCUAAAAGCUAAAAACUUACAAGCACCAAUGUCUUGGUACUUUUAAAAGCAUAGGAGCUCAAUUAUAUGAAUAUAUAUAUAU
rnacentral:lncRNA from 1 species